rnacentral:misc_RNA from 1 species
CGCACCUUGCGCUCUUGGGCUAUUCCUGAGAGCAUGCUUGUUUGAGUGUCGCUUAUCUCUCAACCCCACCUAGACUUAAUUGUCUUGGUAGAUGGGAUUGGAUCAUGGUCUUUGUCGGAACAAAAACUUGUUUUAUUCCGACUUGACUGAAAUGGAACAAGCUGAAUCAAAAGAAAUGCGGCUUGAAGUGUCGUUGUAGAACUCUCGAUACUUGUGCAUUAUAUUUGAACGAGCUUUAACUAUUUGUUAUACUAUUGAAGUUCCAAUAGUGCAAUCAGACCUCAAAUCAAGUAGGACUACCCGCUGAACUUAA